rnacentral:tRNA from 1 species
GCGCUACGUGGUGGAGGGUGCGACCGGACUCAAGGUGCGGUCGGUCCGGAUCAACGUCCAGGGGGUGCGGGUUCAGGGUCCCCCGUAGUUCCCC